rnacentral:lncRNA from 1 species
CACACUGGUAGGGAGGCCAUGGUGGGUGCUCCUGAGCCUGGAAAAGAAGAGGAGGAGAGAGCCUUGUCUUCCAAAGGGGGAAAUGCACCAUGUGGAGUACUGGGGACCUGCUCAGUUUUCCAGCCAGAGAUCACCAAACUUUGCUGUGCUUCCCAAACUCCAGAUCCUAAAAAUCCCUUGGGACCUUGCACCUUGAUCCUCUGCACCCAGAACUGUGUCUCCCAGCCGUGCUCCAGAGAUUUCUGUCCUGUGUACUGGCCCCAACUUUACCAAGCCAGCCUCAUCCUCCUUCAAGACACAGCAAGAUUUGCAGGGGUGCUCAGCUGCUGGCCUCAGCUUCCUGUCCAGACACCAUGGAGUGACACCCAGAGAUCCCCUAGACCUGCAUCCUGAGACUUCAGGAGAAACAGGGCCUUGUGGACCAAUUUGUGCUGAGUAUUCCCUGACCCCCGAGCAGGAGCAGUAAUCUCAGAGGAACUUGAUUUUCACCUGUGGCCACAAGGACCUCUCACCUCGAAGAAAUAGUCCAGGGAAAACCACCAACCAGGCCAGAGCUUGACUGCAUUAAACUCUGCAGGCACAUA